UACGGGGGGGGGCAAGCGUUGUUCGGAAUUACUGGGCGUAAAGGGCUCGUAGGCGGCCAACUAAGUCAGACGUGAAAUCCCUCGGCUUAACCGGGGAACUGCGUCUGAUACUGGAUGGCUUGAGUUUGGGAGAGGGAUGCGGAAUUCCAGGUGUAGCGGUGAAAUGCGUAGAUAUCUGGAGGAACACCGGUGGCGAAGGCGGCAUCCUGGACCAACACUGACGCUGAUGAGCGAAAGCCAGGGGAGCAAAACGGGG
rnacentral:rRNA from 1 species